ACGCUGGCGGCAGGCCUAACACAUGCAAGUCGAGCGGUAGAGAGAAGCUUGCUUCUCUUGAGAGCGGCGGACGGGUGAGUAAUGCCUAGGAAUCUGCCUGGUAGUGGGGGAUAACGUUCGGAAACGGACGCUAAUACCGCAUACGUCCUACGGGAGAAAGCAGGGGACCUUCGGGCCUUGCGCUAUCAGAUGAGCCUAGGUCGGAUUAGCUAGUUGGUGAGGUAAUGGCUCACCAAGGCGACGAUCCGUAACUGGUCUGAGAGGAUGAUCAGUCACACUGGAACUGAGACACGGUCCAGACUCCUACGGGAGGCAGCAGUGGGGAAUAUUGGACAAUGGGCGAAAGCCUGAUCCAGCCAUGCCGCGUGUGUGAAGAAGGUCUUCGGAUUGUAAAGCACUUUAAGUUGGGGGGAAGGGUUGUAGAUUAAUACUCUGCAAUUUUGACGUUACCGACAGAAUAAGCACCGGCUAACUCUGUGCCAGCAGCCGCGGUAAUACAGAGGGUGCAAGCGUUAAUCGGAAUUACUGGGCGUAAAGCGCGCGUAGGUGGUUUGUUAAGUUGGAUGUGAAAUCCCCGGGCUCAACCUGGGAACUGCAUUCAAAACUGACUGACUAGAGUAUGGUAGAGGGUGGUGGAAUUUCCUGUGUAGCGGUGAAAUGCGUAGAUAUAGGAAGGAACACCAGUGGCGAAGGCGACCACCUGGACUAAUACUGACACUGAGGUGCGAAAGCGUGGGGAGCAAAC
rnacentral:rRNA from 1 species